rnacentral:rRNA from 1 species
GAUGAACGCUAGCGGCAGGCCUAACACAUGCAAGUCGAGGGGUAUAGGGAGCUUGCUUCCUAGAGACCGGCGCACGGGUGCGUAACGCGUAUGCAAUCUACCUUGUACAGGGGAAUAGCCCAGAGAAAUUUGGAUUAAUGCCCCAUAGUAUUAUUAAAUGGCAUCCUUUAAUAAUUAAAGUUCCAACGGUACAAGAUGAGCAUGCGUCCUAUUAGUUAGUUGGUGUGGUAACGGCAUACCAAGACGAUGAUAGGUAGGGGUCCUGAGAGGGAGAUCCCCCACACUGGUACUGAGACACGGACCAGACUCCUACGGGAGGGCAGCAGUGAGGAAUAUUGGACAAUGGGCGCAAGCCUGAUCCAGCCAUGCCGCGUGCAGGAAGACGGUCCUAUGGAUUGUAAACUGCUUUUAUACAGGAAGAAACACUGGUUCGUGAACCAGCUUGACGGUACUGUAAGAAUAAGGAUCGGCUAACUCCGUG